UGGCGGACGGGUGAGUAAUGCUUGGGGAUCUGGCUUAUGGAGGGGGAUAACGACGGGAAACUGUCGCUAAUACCGCGUAGAAUCGAGAGAUGAAAGUGUGGGACCUUCGGGCCACAUGCCAUAGGAUGAACCCAAGUGGGAUUAGGUAGUUGGUAGGGUAAUGGCCUACCAAGCCGACGAUCCCUAGCUGGUCUGAGAGGAUGACCAGCCACACCGGGACUGAGACACGGCCCGG
rnacentral:rRNA from 1 species